UACAGAGGGUGCGAGCGUUAAUCGGAAUUACUGGGCGUAAAGUGCGCGUAGGCGGCUUUGCAAGCCGGAUGUGAAAUCCCCGGGCUUAACCUGGGAACUGCAUUCGGGACUGCAUUGCUAGAGUAUGGGAGAGGGAAGUGGAAUUUCAGGUGUAGCGGUGAAAUGCGUAGAUAUCUGAAGGAACAUCAGUGGCGAAAGCGACUUCCUGGACCAAUACUGACGCUCAUGUGCGAAAGCGUGGGGAGCAAACAGG
rnacentral:rRNA from 1 species